rnacentral:rRNA from 1 species
CCCUAUUAUUUUAGAAUGUUAAUUUGUUUUGCCUGAGUAGUAUUAGUUAUGUUCUUGAAACUUAAAGAAUUUGGCGGUAUCUCAUUCCGUCCAGAGGAAUCUGUCUCGUUAUCGAUAGUCCGCGUUGGACCUUACUUGGUUGCUUUGGUUUGUAUACCGCCGUUUAUUUGAUUAUCUUUUUAGGGGUUUAAAUUUUCUAGUUUCCUUAUUUUGGUUUAUUUCAGGUCAAGGUGCAGCUUGUUUCCAAGUGAAUGAUGGAUUACAUUGAUUGAUUUGUUUUUGGAUUGCUUGUUUGAAUUUGGGCAUGAAAUUGGAUUUGGUUGUAAUGGUUUGUAGAUUGUUAUUAUGAUAAUUGGUUCUGGGAUAUGCACACAUCGCCCGUCGCUCUCGUUGCUGUUAAAUGAGAUAAGUC